rnacentral:rRNA from 1 species
GUGGGGAAUAUUGGACAAUGGGCGCAAGCCUGAUCCAGCCAUGCCGCGUGAGUGAUGAAGGCCUUAGGGUUGUAAAGCUCUUUCAGUGGGGACGAUAAUGACGGUACCCACAGAAGAAGCCCCGGCUAACUUCGUGCCAGCAGCCGCGGUAAUACGAAGGGGGCUAGCGUUGUUCGGAUUUACUGGGCGUAAAGCGCACGUAGGCGGAUCGUUAAGUCGGGGGUGAAAUCCUGGAGCUCAACUCCAGAACUGCCUUCGAUACUGGCGAUCUUGAGUCCGGAAGAGGUGAGUGGAACUCCUAGUGUAGAGGUGGAAUUCGUAGAUAUUAGGAAGAACACCAGUGGCGAAGGCGGCUCACUGGUCCGGUACUGACGCUGAGGUGCGAAAGCGUGGGGAGCAAACAGGAUUAGAUAUCCUAGUAGUCC